UGAGGAAUAUUGGUCAAUGGACGUGAGUCUGAACCAGCCAAGUCGCGUGAAGGAAGAAGGUUCUAUGGAUUGUAAACUUCUUUUAUACGGGAAUAAAGUGCGCCACGUGUGGUGUUUUGUAUGUACCGUAUGAAUAAGCAUCGGCUAACUCUGUGCCAGCAGCCGCGGUAAUACGGAGGAUCCGAGCGUUAUCCGGAUUUAUUGGGUUUAAAGGGUGCGUAGGUUGUUUUUUGAAGUCAGCGGUGAAAGUUUGUGGCUCAACCAUAAAAUUCACCGUUGAAACUGGAAGACUUGAGUGUGUUUGAGGUAGGCGGAAUGCGUGGUGUAGCGGUGAAAUGCAUAGAUAUCACGCAGAACUCCGAUUGCGAAGGCAGCGUACUGGCGCCUGACUGACGCUGAGGCACGAAAGCGUGGGGAUCGAACAGGAUUAGAUACC
rnacentral:rRNA from 1 species